CUUCUUCAUUACAUCUUCCAAAAAAAAAACCCUAUUUUCUUUCCCACCAUUUUCCUCUAAUCCAAAAUUUCAAGAAAACAUCAAUGUUCUCUUCUUCUAUUUCAUCACAACCAUUUCAAAAAAAAGAUUGAAAUAUGUUUGGGUAAGCUUCAUACAACAUAAAGAAAGCUUGAGAAUUGAUUGAAGCUUCAUUUUGCCACUGGUGCUUUUUGGGGAUCCUAUCAUCUGGAACGAGAUGUUGAGUGCACUGCUCUAAGUACCAGAUCCUAUGGGAAGAUGUAGGUAAGUUUGAUAGAAUAACUGUUCUGCAGUAUUAGAGUUUUUUCUUUUUCUUUUAGUGUCUGCAAAAAAUGUCCUUCCAUUGUUGUCGUUUGUUCUGAGUGUUUUAUAACAAUUUUCUAUGGUAUGUUCUGUUUAUGAUUUUAAUUCUAAAUACUGAACAUAGGCCAAGGUGCUAGUUUGCUAUUUUCAUGUAAUUUCAUAAUGAAUGUUUUAAAGCUUUAGUUUAAGAACAUAGUAUAGAAAUAGUUUACUGGAGAGUCACAAACUUGAAAAACUCUUUGUUCUAUACCACAUUCAAGGAUACAGAUUCACUUAAGGUAAGAACCACAAUAAGCAAUUCUCAUAGAAUUUUUCAUGUUAUAUUUUGAAAUAAGUAUAAAGAUAUUGUAAUGGUGGGAGGAUGUUAGACGUGGUUUCUCCAUUUCAUUUAACUCCCUAUUUGUCUUCUUCCUGGUAUACUGAAUUGAUCCUACAUGUUUGUUUGUUCCUAAGCUCCUUUUUUUUUUCAUUCUUUUACCAGAAAAGAAAAAGAAACUUUUUAUUAAUCACUAACCACUAUCAAACAAUUGCUCAAACUGAGCAACAAUAAGCUACACUCUAUAAAUUGUUAAUGAAAUCUAACAUAACACUUACUCUCUUUGAAGACUACUUACUUGCUAGACUUUAAUAUUUGCUUUAAUCAUUUUAUCAAUCCUAUUAUUGAGUAAUAGCAACAAUUGAAAAAACAAGUAUUUCUAUUGAGCCAUGUGCUAUAAAUUGUAGCAACAAGUGCAGCUGCUGCUAUACUCUGCAACAACCCAUGAUGUAGUCCAAGCUAUUCACUCAUGGAUGGAAGUCUUUGGCCAUAUAGCCAAUAUCCUAUUAGUU